GCAUUACACACUCCUGCCACCAUCAGUACGCACACCUGCCUUUCCCCGUCACGCGCAUCAGCGUAUUAUUGGACUUAAUCACCUGUUCAUUACCUCCCCUAUAUUUGUCAGUUCCCCAUCUAUGUUUCCUGCUGUUGCAUUAAUGUUCGUAUGUCGUUACCCGUGUGCUGAUGUAACAGUAUAACUUUAGACCGUCCCCUCGCCCAUACCCGGGCGCAAACCAGGGGCCCUCUGCACACAUCAACAACUGUCACCCACGAAGCGUCACCCAAGCCACGGCCCUUGCAGAGCAAGGGGAACUACUACUUCAAGGUCUCAGAGCAAGUGACGUCACCGAUUGAAACGCUAUUUAGCGCGCACCCUAACUCGUCUAGCCGUUUCACAUCCGUUACACUGACGCUGUUCCUGUCUUGUUACCGGUCUGUUCCGCAUUAAAUGUUCAACUCCCCGUACCUGCUUCUCAUCUCCAGCGUCGGUCCUUAUAGGAUGGCCAUCCUGCUAACUGAUUUAAGUGUCAGAGCUUCCGGCGACGGUCCACAGUCCGGAGCCUCCAGCGAGGGCUUCCAGGAGAGGCGUCCAGUCCAGCUCCAUGGCAGGAGCCUUCCUCUGCGCGGUGGCCAGUCCAGGCACAGUGUUCAGUCCAGCUCCAUGGCAGGAGCCUUCCUCUGUGCCGGUGCCCAGUCCAGGCACAGUGUUCAGUCCAGCUCCAUGGCAGGAGCCUUCCUCUGCGCCAGUGCCCAGUCCAGGCACGGUGUCCAGUCCAGCUCCAUGGCAGGAGCCUUCCUCUGUGCCGGUGCCCAGUCCAGGCACAGUGUUCAGUCCAGCUCCAUGGCAGGAGCCUUCCUCUGCGCCGGUGCCCAGUCCAGGUACGGUGUCCAGUCCAGCUCCAGGGCAGGAGCCUUCCUUUGCGCCGGUGCCCAGUCCAGGCACAUUGUCCAGUCCAGCUCCAGGGCAGGAGACUUCCUCUGCGCCGGGGCCCAGUCCGGGAACGGUGUCCAGUCCAGCUCCAUGGCCGGAGCCUUCCUCAGCGCCGGUAUCCAGUCCGGGCACAGUGACCAGCCCAGCUCCAAGGCGAGAGCCUUCCUCUGCGCCGAUGCCCAGUCCAGGCACGCUGGCCAGCCCGGGUCCAUGGCUGGAUCCGCGGGAUGAGCGGGUUCUUCGUCCCGCACCAGAGCCGCCCCGGACACUAGAUGCCCACCCGGACCCUCCCCUAUAGAGUCAGUUUUUGCGGCCGGAGUCCACACCUUUGAGGGGGGGUACUGUCACGCCCUGACCAUAGAGAGCCUUUUUAUUCUCUAUUUUGGUUAGGUCGGGGUAUGACUAGGGUGGGUAAUCUAUAGGUUGUUUAUUUCUAUGUUGGCCUGGUAUGGUACCCAAUCAGAAGCAGCUGUUUUUCUUUGUCUCUGAUUGGGGAUCAUAUUUAGGCAGCCAUUUCCCCACUGUGUUUUGUGGGAUCUUGUUUAUGUGUAGUUGCCUGUGAGCACUUAAUUUACUUCACGUUUUGUUCGUUCUUUAUUGUUUUUGGGAGUUUCAUUCAAUAAACAUGUGGAACCCAUAUCACGCUGCGCUUUGGUCCAAAUGUUAUUACGACGAUCGUGACAAGUAG
ensembl:lncRNA